rnacentral:rRNA from 1 species
UUUAAGUGGAGAGUUUGAUCCUGGCUCAGAAUGAACGCUGGCGGCGUGCUUAACACAUGCAAGUCGCACGAGGCGGGGGGGGCAACCCCUCCAGUCGAGUGGCGGACGGGUGAGUAACACGUGGGUAACCUGCCCGGAUGUGGGGAAUACCUCGGGGAAACUCGAGCUAAUACCGCAUGACAUCUUCGGGACGAAAGUCCUGACGAUCAAAGCGGGGUCGCAAGAUCUCGCGCUUCCGGAUGGGCCCGCGCCCGAUUAGCUAGUUGGCGAGGUAACGGCUCACCAAGGCGACGAUCGGUAGCCGGCCUGAGAGGGUGAUCGGCCACACCGGAACUGAGACACGGUCCGGACUCCUACGGGAGGCAGCAGUGGGGAAUCUUGCGCAAUGGGCGAAAGCCUGACGCAGCAACGCCGCGUGGAGGAUGAAGGCCCUUGG